rnacentral:rRNA from 1 species
CCGUAGGUGAACCUGCGGAAGGAUCAUUACUGAGUUAGGGUCUCUCAGGCCCGACCUCCAACCCUGUGUAUAUUCUACCCUGUUGCUUUGGCGGGCCCGCCUUUUAGGGGGCCGUCGGGGGUUAUCUGACCCCUGACCAGUGCCCGCCAGUAGCCUUCAAAAACUCUUGUAUAACUGUGUUGUCUGAGUACUAAUUAAAAUCGUUAAAACUUUCAACAACGGAUCUCUUGGUUCUGGCAUCGAUGAAGAACGCAGCGGAAUGCGAUAAGUAAUGCGAAUUGCAGAAUUCAGUGAGUCAUCGAAUCUUUGAACGCAUAUUGCGCCCUUUGGCAUUCCGAAGGGCAUGCCUGUUCGAGCGUCAUUAUCAACCAUCAAGCACGGCUUGUCGUUGGACUCUUGUCGCUGUAACACGCGACAGGUCCGAAAGAUAAUGACGGGUGUCGUGUUGGACCCUCGAUGCAACGAGCUCUUUGUAGCACGCAUCGAACGUGGUCUGCCGCCCCGGUCUACACCUCUAUUUUCUUUAGGUUGACCUCGGAUCAGGUAGGAAUACCCGCUGAACUUAAGCAUAUCAAUAAGCGGAGGA